GUACAUCCAGAGAACUUAGCAGAGAUGCUUUGGUGCCUUCGGGAACUCUGAGACAGGUGCUGCAUGGCUGUCGUCAGCUCGUGUUGUGAAAUGUUGGGUUAAGUCCCGCAACGAGCGCAACCCUUAUCCUUUGUUGCCAGCGGUUCGGCCGGGAACUCAAAGGAGACUGCCGGUGAUAAACCGGAGGAAGGUGGGGAUGACGUCAAGUCAUCAUGGCCCUUACGGCCAGGGCUACACACGUGCUACAAUGGCGCAUACAAAGAGAAGCGACCUCGCGAGAGCAAGCGGACCUCAUAAAGUGCGUCGUAGUCCGGAUUGGAGUCUGCAACUCGACUCCAUGAAGUCGGAAUCGCUAGUAAUCGUAGAUCAGAAUGCUACGGUGAAUACGUUCCCGGGCCUUGUACACACCGCCCGUCACACCAUGGGAGUGGGUUGCAAAAGAAGUAGGUAGCUUAACCUUCGGGAGGGCGCUUACCACUUUGUGAUUCAUGACUGGGGUGAAGUCGUAACAAGGUAGGCGUAGCGAG
rnacentral:rRNA from 1 species